UACGUAGGGUGCAGGCGUUAAUCGGAAUUACUGGGCGUAAAGCGUGCGCAGGCGGUCUGCUAAGAGAGAUGUGAAAUCCCCGGGCUUAACCUGGGAACUGCGUUUCUAACUGGCAGGCUUGAGUGUGGCAGAGGGGGGUGGAAUUCCACGUGUAGCAGUGAAAUGCGUAGAGAUGUGGAGGAACACCGAUGGCGAAGGCAGCCCCCUGGGCUAACACUGACGCUCAUGCACGAAGGCGUGGGGAGCAAACGGG
rnacentral:rRNA from 1 species